UUCAGAUUUAUACUGUGCGGGAUACAUCAAUCCAACUGUAACUACGUUUUCGAUUAAUGAGAUCAGAUUACCAGUCGUCCUCUCUGUGUGAUGCUGAUGUAGGGAUGACUUGAACAAUGGCGGCAAUUGGUUUGUGAACCCAAGUCACUAUUCCAUGAACAGAUGAUGACAGAAAAAGUAAAUUGAGAUUUGAUCUCCGGUGAGACAGAAGUGAUACUGAAGAAUAAUACAUAACAUCGAACUGUAGAAUUGACAUGGAUGAAGAAGGACAACAUAGUUUGGAGUGUAUCCAAGCCAAUCAGAUCUUUCCUAGAAAACAGCUAAUUAGAGAAGAAGAAAACCUCCAGGUAUAGAAGAAAAAUGCGGAUUUAAUUGGAAGUACUGUAGACUUUCAGCCAGUUUUCCAUUUACAAAUGAGGUAUUCUGAUACUUUCCAUGGUUCCUUUUCCUGAGCUUCAUGGGGAAAGUACAGAAUACAUAGGACGUGCUGAGGAUGCAGUUAUUGCUCUGUCUAACUACAGAUUGCACAUCAAAUUUAAGGAAACAGUUG